rnacentral:lncRNA from 1 species
AGAAAUUACUUAUUAUUCUUUUUAUGUAAAUGUAUCUAAUUUUAUCUAAACACUAACCAAUACAUUAAGGCGGUUAUUAAGCAAGAAAAAAAUUAACCCUAUUACAUAACCCUACAUUUUUCUGUAAAUAUACACUAACCACUACUUUAGGAUAACUCUAAGUUAUAUAACAGUAUAUAAAUUAAAAAAUUUAACAUAUUAGAAACUUACAGAAAAUGUUACAUAUUUACAAAAAAAAAAAAAAAUACAAACCAACAUUAUAUUUACGGGUCAAAAUCAAAAACAGACAAAUAUGAUUACAAAGAAACGGACUUAUAAUUACAAAGAACGGAGCGUAUGCCGGAUCAACUUUUAAAAUACUAUUAUUUUAUAAAUAUGAUUACAAAAGAAAACACAAAUAUAAUUACAAAGAAAAACACAAAUAUAGUAAAAAAG